rnacentral:rRNA from 1 species
ACACUCCUGCGGGAGGCAGCAGUGAGGAAUAUUGGACAAUGGGUGGAAGCCUGAUCCAGCCAUCCCGCGUGCAGGAAGACGGCCCUAUGGGUUGUAAACUGCUUUUAUCUGGGGAUAAACCUACUUACGUGUAAGUAGCUGAAGGUACCAGAAGAAUAAGCACCGGCUAACUCCGUGCCAGCAGCCGCGGUAAUACGGAGGGUGCAAGCGUUAUCCGGAUUUAUUGGGUUUAAAGGGUCCGUAGGCGGACUGAUAAGUCAGUGGUGAAAUCCGACAGCUUAACUGUCGAACUGCCAUUGAUACUGUUAGUCUUGAGUAAGGUUGAAGUGGCUGGAAUAAGUAGUGUAGCGGUGAAAUGCAUAGAUAUUACUUAGAACACCAAUUGCGAAGGCAGGUCACUAAGUCUUAACUGACGCUGAUGGACGAAAGCGUGGGGAGCGAACAGGAUUAGAAACCCCUGUAGUCCCA